AAGUCAGACUGCUUGAACAGUUCAAUAUGCUAUUUAGUAUUUAUUUUUUUCUUGAAAUGUCAGUAAUAAAUGUAUCGGAAUAAUAAGACUUUAACUGUGGAAUCAUUUAUCAAAGUUACCCCAGAAAGAAGACAAAAUGUGCUGUUCUUGGCCAUGAAACUCUCGCGCUGAUACCCACCCACACCCUGACCGCGAGGGGGCGCGCCUCGGCUUACCCUCAGGUCCCCAGAUGUACCUGUGUAUGUGUGCAGCUACCGCCGCAUGAAGACGACGUUUAGGGCUGACUUGCUGUUGAGAUGUAGAUCUGUGGGACCGAGGGACUGCAUGAGUAGCUUGAGGAAAGGGAUGGAGUUCUGCAACCUCUAAUCUCUCCAAGGAACACUGGAGCAGGAUCUGGGACAUGAGUGCUGAGAUUGAGGGAGGCUGGGGCACGUAUAGAAAGAUCAAGUCACCUCAGUCACACCCCAGCCGUCGGGCAGAAGCUGACGCGGAAACCUGAGUCUGCAGGGCAACGACAGCCACUGUGAAUAAUUCCAUUUAUUAGCAUCCCCACCCCGCCUGGAAAUUACGCGGAUCCUCGCCCCGGCAGGCUGCAGCUUCCCCCACCGUGAUGCCUCUGAUUAACAGCCUCACU